rnacentral:rRNA from 1 species
CCUACGGGUGGCAGCAGUGGGGAAUAUUGGGCAAUGGGCGCAAGCCUGACCCAGCAAUGCCGCGUGAAGGAAGAAGGCUUUCGGGUUGUAAACUUCUUUGACAGGGGAAGAGCAGAAGACGGUACCCUGAAAACAAGCCACGGCUAACUACGUGCCAGCAGCCGCGGUAAUACGUAGGUGGCAAGCGUUGUCCGGAUUUACUGGGUGUAAAGGGCGUGUAGCCGGGAAGGCAAGUCAGAUGUGAAAUCCGGGGGCUCAACCCCCGAACUGCAUUUGAAACUGUUGGUCUUGAGUAUCGGAGAGGCAGGCGGAAGUCCUAGUGUAGCGGUGAAAUGCUUAGAUAUCACGAAGAACUCCGAUUGCGAAGGCAGCUCACUGGACUGCAACUGACACUGAGGCUCGAAAGUGUGGGUAUCAAACAGGAUUAGAUACCCCUGUAGUC